CCCAGCCCCUGCAGGAAGGCAUUUGGCAUCAGCUGACAGGCAGCCCAAACUGCACCACUGGCCUGAAAUCCUCUGCAAUUUCCCAAUUCCCAGGCCCAUCUGGAGGGGUGGCUGCUUGGAGGAGGGAGGGCCAUAGCCAGCCCCAAGGCACUGGAGGGAUCAGGAUUUUCCUGAUCCUUAUCCAUGACUGGGACAUGUGUUGCCUCCUGAAGAGGCCACCUCCCCUGUGCAUAAUGAUUCCAUCUGAUCUAGCUGUGCCUGUUCCUUUCUCAAGGGAUGGACAGAGAGGCUCUGUGGAAGGUGGCAUUUCCUGAAGGAAGGGAAGAGAUGCCAGGCAGAGUCCCAGGAGAUGAGGAUCACGUCUUAAAUUACUUGGAAACACUGGUGAAUGGUGGUUUGAAGACCUUGCCAGAUGUUGGAGCUAACCUGGUUGGUGAAAGUGAUCUGGCUUCCCAACCCACGUUCAGGAUUGAGUCUCUGGGAGAUGCUGAGGGUAGGUCAAGGCCUUUCCCCUGGGAGAGCUGCCAGCUCAAGAGCCCAAAGCUGGUGCCAGCACAGAACCGUGCACGUGUGUGCCCUUGCCCUGCGCGAUCCACUCGUGAUUUCUGCUCAGCGCUGGCAGCUGUCUGGGGAAGGGAGGGCCCUGGCCCAGCCACAAAAGCCCAGAUAUUUUGUGAAUCUUUUCCCCAUUUUUGAUAAGCAUGCUGCCCUGAAGAUGCCAGCAAAGAAAUGGGGAAUUGUUCCAUGAUCCAACUGUCCUUUUUUGUUUCUCAAGUGAUGGACCAAAAGGCAGGG